AUUGUUUCCUCCAUAAGUGUGGGUUAUUGCAUUGUUGUUGUGAGAGGGUUGUUUCUGUUGUUGUUGUUGUUGUUGUUGUUGUGCUUUAUCCAAUAGUUCCAAAGGAGAGAGAUCAUCUACCUUCACAGACAGAAUGAUUGGACUAUAUUUAUAUGAGAGAAUGGAAAAGAGCCUUGUUGGCUAGUUUGCUGCUUCACGAUUAUUUUAAAAGUUACUGUAUGCUGUAUGGAGAAAUGGAUUACAUACUGGUGGAUCUUCAGUAAUGUCAGGUGAGCAAUGUGUCCUCUUUUCUUGACAUUCAGAGUCUCUGAGGAGUUUGGGAACAGCCAUUGAUUUUGGAGAAUACACAUAAAAUUGAGAGAGAAAAUCCAUAACCCAAUAAAAAAAAUAUGGAUGAUGUGAUUUCAAGGAGAAAAGGAAAUAUGUGAGAUGAUGGGAAUCCCUUUGUUUGGUCUACCAUCCACAGGCUGAGGAGGAUGUGAGAGGACAUCCUUUUAACAAGACAGGUAUGCUUCUUUUUUUCAUUAAAUGUAAUGCAUUGUUUCCUCCAUAAGUGUGGGUUAUUGCAUUGUUGUUGUGGGAGGGUUGUUUCUGUUGUU